rnacentral:lncRNA from 1 species
CCUCCCUCCAAAGUGUUAUCGAAUUCAACAUAUGUUUUGAUUAUGUAUUUCAAAUUGAAGUACAUAUGUGUUUAUAUUUAUAUGAGCCCAACAGACACUGAGUGUACUCAAGUUGUGAUGUACAUGUCAAUGACUGUUUGUGAAGUCACAAGGAUGACCCAAAUAAUGACCUUUGAGGUCAAAGAAAACAACACAUUUUUC